UCGGAGCACAACCUUUAUGUAUAAUAUAUAAUUCUCUGAGGAAUGGAGCUAGCAAACAGUGGAGCAGCGUUGCUGUGUUCAUGCUCAGUAUCUGUCCUACAUUGGAGUGUGUGCCUCUGCAAUGCUGCAUCUCAAAUGCCACCAUCGUGGUGUUUUCUUUACCAUAUAUAUAGAUGUGGAAGGUUCAUGUUAUCCUUAU
rnacentral:lncRNA from 1 species